GAGAGAGAGCGAGCGAGCGAGAGAGAGCGCGAGAGCGAGAGAGAAGCUGCUAAAAGCUAUCUCCAAUUCAUCCUGAGUCCCCCGUGGCGAGGAACCUGGACCUGGCAGCGCACCUGAGGCUUCCGCGAGUCUCAGCUGACAAAGAUUCCAUGAGCAAACUUUAGUCAAGCUGACUCCACUGACUCCAUCACCCUGCCCACUGGCUAUAAACUCCCAGCGACUGUUAUAUACAAAGUUGAGGUUUUGGCGCUCACCCUGCAACAUAGUGAGCCCCACGGCAUCCCGGGAAAUGUAGUCCAGGACUUCGCCAACGGCGGGACGGACUCGGCCAAGGGUGGCCUCUAGGAACUGGAAAACCUAAGGAAAUUAAUUCUCACCUAAAGCGAUUCGUGGGGUCGCAAAGAGUCGGACUCAACUGAGUGACUGAAUUGAACUGAACUGAAAGCCUGCAGAAAGGAACACAGCCUUGCCAACACCUUGCUCUUUCUUAGCCAAGUGAGAACCAUGGCAGACUUCUAUCUAAC